AUUUGUUUAACUUAUAUGAAGGCCAGUUGCUUCAUGUUGCCAAUACACAGACCGGGCUGGGCUGCUAAGAAACGGAAACCACAGGAUCGUGCCGUGGAGGGGCGAAGGCUGCGAUAUGGACUCAAAACUAUCCAAUUUUGAAUAGGUGCUUGGAUGCGUUGUUUUACAACUUUGCCACGGGCGCACAUAUUCCUUGGCACGGCCCUGCUGUUUAAUCAAAGAUGUCGUCGCUUAUUUCGUUGAUUGUGCUCCUCCUCCGAUCAUGCAAGAGCCGCCAGUCUCACUAAAAUAAUCUCCUGCAUGGAUCCAUUUUGCAUUCAUUGUUUUAUUAACCUUUUAUUCAAUUUUCACACAUUUUCAAAAAGGCAAACAAAACAACAAACGUGUAACCGCACGGAAUGCGGGUUUCACCUCUGGUCACACUCUGGUGCUGGCAAAAUAU
rnacentral:lncRNA from 1 species